rnacentral:tRNA from 1 species
GGUGGCUUAGCGGUAGAGCUCUUGCCUUGCAUGCAUGAGGCCCUGGGUUCGAUUCCUCAGCACCA